rnacentral:rRNA from 1 species
UACGUAGGGUCCAAGCGUUGUUCGGAUUCAUUGGGCGUAAAGGGUGUGUAGGUGGCGCCGUAAGUCGGGUGUGAAAUUUCGGAGCUUAACUCCGAAACUGCAUUCGAUACUGCGGUGCUUGAGGACUGGAGAGGAGACUGGAAUUCAUGGUGUAGCAGUGAAAUGCGUAGAGAUCAUGAGGAAGACCAGUGGCGAAGGCGGGUCUCUGGACAGUUCCUGACACUGAGACACGAAGGCCAGGGGAGCAAACGGG